AGCCAGUGGGCACAGAGUGGGGGAGGAGAGCAGGGUAUGUGACCUGGAACAGUGAAAUAAAAGGAGUCACCAAGAGGUCUCCCAGCCUGGAUGUCUCCUGUCCACUCUGUUAUUCAUCCCAGAAGCAUCUCUGAGCUACCCCUGCCCUCAAGGAAGCCAUAUGGGAAGGGGAAGGAGCGGGGACACUCCCCCCAGACCCUCAUAAAUCUGUAUUUCCCCAAGGACAAGGCCCAGGCCUCCCUCUUGUCACUUCCACAGCCAGUUGGGUAGGAAAUGAAGGGCAGGAGGGCAGGCUACCUAGGAUGCCUUGGCCCAGCGGCCCCCAGAGCCCAAGAGUCGGAGCCCUGCCUGUGGGAGUGAGGUCUGACUGCCACCCUUGUCCUCCCUCCCCUCUUCCACCACCUUGGCUUAUACUGUCCCCAGGGAGGACAGGACGGCCUGUCACAGCUCAGACUCUGCCUGGGCUGUCCUCUGGGAGGUCGGGGUGCAGUUCCCCAGUGAAGUGGUAAGGGAAAGAUUGAGUGGAAGCCUUGGGGGACUCGGGUGCAGUCCACUACCUUACCUGGAUUUUCUCAUCUUCCCGAUGGACGCAGAUGGGGCCGAGAGACAGGUGCCUGAGCCGCACAGGAUGCCAGCAACCUCCGUUUACAGGUGGGCCUAUCAUGCCAAAGAGAAGAAGCCUGCUCUGGCAGGCCCCAUUCCCCCUUGCUGACACAGCCACCCAAACUACGCCCCCCAAUGGUGUCACCCCGAGCGAGGUCCUUUUCCAGCUGCACAUGGCCUUCAGAGCCUCUGCUCUGACUCCUCUCCCUUUUUCCCUCCACCAGCAUCCUGCUGCCCAGUGCAGUGCAUAGCUAAGUCCUGUCGCCUUCAGGGACCGCGCUCUAGGGCCCUCUCACAGGUGACUCUGGAGGAAUUUGUGUAGUUCACCACGCCUUCCCCUCUGCAGAGACCGAGGCCUGUCGUGUCAGUCUGGUUCAGGGCUGAGCCCAGGGCCUGGAUGCAGUGGGGUCUCCAGGAAGGAGGCUGAGGGAGAAACAAGAUGGAAGACAGAAGGGGCCUCUGGGCUCCAGUACACUUCUCUGAAUGGCCACUGGUGGCUGUCCCUGCAGUUUUCUCAACCUCAGUGACUCCUCUGCCAGUGUUACCCUGAGGACCGUUUCUGUGCACUGGACCAGAGCCAGGAGGGCUCACUCAGACCUAGGGCCAUCAGACCAAGGUGCACCUGUUGGGGUUGAAGGGACAGCUGGAGGGAGGUAACCAGUGUCAUGGGACAAAUGCUGAGCAGGGUCUUUUCCUUUUCCCGCAGAGGUGGAUGGAAAGUGUCUCACAACUCCUAUUGCAGCAGGGCGCCGUGUUGCACGCCUGUCAUCCCAGCAGCCUGGGAGGCUGAAGCAGGAAGAUCACAAGUUCGAAGCCAGCCUCAGCAACUUAGCAAGGCCCUGAACAAGUUAACGAGAUCCUGUCUCAGAAUUAAAAAGCCUGGAGAUGUAGCUCAGUGGUUAAGCACCCCUGGGUUCAAUCCCUGGUACCAAAAUAGCAAACCAAAACUGUUGUUAAGAAAGCAUGGGUACACCAGGGGCCAAUGCGAGAAUCACGAACAGUGGUCAAGGAAGGGGUCACAGAAAGGGCAGAAGAGGAAGCUGCCUCUAGCAUUCAGUCCUGUGCCUUCGGGUCACCUGCAGGAUUUGCCACCUACUGGCUGCCAACGCAUGGCCUGGCAUACUGAGGAUGGCAUCCUGGACACCAAACUUUGCUGCCAGCCAUGUACGUCAGAUAACCCCCAUCAGCAGUGCAACGCCACACAGGGGACAAUGGUGUCUGCAGUGCUCAGGCUGCACACUAAGGCCAUGCCCGGCUGCCACUGGGGUUCAGGGAUCCCACAGACCUCAGCUCCCUCUGGUCCCUUCUUGGCACUGAAGCACUGAGCACAAAGGAUGGAGAUCCAGGUUCCACCCUCGUCCACAGCUGAAAGCACUUUUCACUUUUAUGAUUUGUAAAAAUUUUAUAAUAAUGGUUGUCAUCAUCCCACAGACCUCCCCGGGUCAGUCCUUAAGGCUGUCAGCCUGUCAACCACGGAGUUUAUAUGUGUCAAGGCUGCCCGAGUUCUGGGCCACUAUCCUGACCUAGGCCAACCCUGGGUCUGUCCAGACCUAGCCACACCAGGAUCCCAGGCCCAGGGUCUACUCCCAGGACCCUGAGCUCAGCCUGUACCCAUCAUACACUGCCCGCCUGAAGCUCACAUGGUGAAGUGGGAUCCGAGCCCAAAGGAUCAAGUUGCAAGAUGUGUGACCUACAUCUGCCAAUAUUAUUAGCUCUGGGCCGGCAGGGCAGUCUGGCUGGAACACAAUUCGAGGAACUGUUGACUUGGCUUUGUUUCCAGUCCAGUAGCUGGUAGGGACUCAUGGAGGUGGCAGCAGGGGCCCCUGGCUCCUCCCAGCCCCCACGCCUGUCAUCGUGAGAGCCAGAGAACUUUGCUUGUUCCUCCAGGGCGCUGGUGAUGUCAAUGCAGGCACAAUGUCUCCAGUGGCCUUUGUGCAACCCUGGGUCAGCUGCCUGGCUGCUGGCUUCCUCCGGUACCCAUUUGUGCCAUACUAGCUCCAAGACCAGGUCUCUCCUCCUCCCUUGUCCUCCAGUCCUGCCCUGCCCCAGGCUGGCUGAAGCCAAGGUGACAGGGGAGGGGGUGACCCAUUCCCACACCCUGGGGAUAAGCCAAGGAAAUGGGCCUCAGCCAGGCAUCCCAGACUGUGGCUCCAGGCCUCCUGACACGGUGUCCAGCUCUGCACCCCCAGGCAGCAGGGGGACCUGGAGCCAGUCUCCCAAUAUUGCUGAAGCCCUUUCCUCAUCUGCCAAGUAGGAAUCUCUCACCUGUCCUGCAGGCAGCAGGGGAUGAGAUGACUUUGAAGAAGUCCUUCCCAAGCCAGGAAAAACCCUACAAGGUCAGAUAUUGCUUAGGGGGUGUUGGUCCUAUAACUGCCCUGAGAAAGGGAGGAGAGGCUGUGGCCUUACAGAAGUUUGCAUAAUGAGGGCUGGGACAGACCUCAGUGACAGCAGGAAGUCGCUCUAGAGAAUGUCAAGACUUCAGCAUUGAAUAGAAGGUCCCAGAAAGUGCUGGGCUGGGGUCUGAUUACUGGACUGCAGGGAAACAAAGACCACAGCCUUGCCCUCAAGCUCUCCAGGCACAAGUAAUAGAGCAUGUGAGAUGGCAGACCUUGUCUGAGAACCUGAGGGCCCCAAGGGUCGGGGAGAACGGGAGUGCCUGGGCUCCAGCCCCCCUUACAGUCCCUCUCGGGCUCUUUGAUGUAGUGCAGUUAGAACUCUGAUUGGAGAAGAGCAAUUCCGGAGGCUGAGGCAGGAGGAUCACAAGUGUAAGGCCAGGCUGGGCAAUUUAUCAAGACCCUGUCUCAAAUAAAAAAGGGCUAAAGCCAGGCACCAUGGUGAAUGCCUAUAAUCCCACCAACCUGGAGGCUGAGUCAUAAGGACUAAAAGUCUGAGGCCAGCCUCAACAACUUAACGAGGUCCUAAGCAACUUAAUGAGACUCUUUCUCAAAACAAAAAAAUAAAAAGGACUGGGGAUGUCAUGUCACUCACUAGUAAAGAACCCUGGGUUCAAACCCCGAGAAAAAAAGGGCUGGGGGUAAUGGGGGUAACUCAGUGGUAGAGUAUCCCUGGGUUCAAUAUUCAGUACUGCAGAAAAUAG
rnacentral:lncRNA from 1 species